ensembl:lncRNA
UAGAUGUACACACAGACACACUAACAUUUGGUUCUAAACAAAGACACACACUAAUAUUUAGAUGUACACAAAGACAUAUUAAUAUUUAGAUGUACACACAGACACAUUAAUAUUUUGAUGUACACACAGACACACUAACAAUUAGUUGUACACACAGACACACUAACAAUUCGAUAUUCACACAGACACACUAACAAUUAGAUGUACACACAUACACACUAACAUUUGUUUCUAAACAAAGACACUUACUAACAUUUAGAUGUACACAAAUACACAUUAAUAUGUAGAUGUAUACACAGACACACUAACAUUUAGAUGUACACACAGACACAUUUAUAUUCAGAAGUACACAAAAACACACAAACAUCUGGUUCUGCACAAAGACACAUUAAUAUUUAAAUGUACACACAGACCCACUAACAAUUAGAUGUACACACAGACACAUCCUGAUGAUCCUCCUCACGUCUCUUCUCCUUGUCUGCAGACCAACAGGACGCCAUCAGGACGCCAUCAGGACGCCACACCAACAGGACGCCAUCAGGACGCCACGUCAACGGGACGCCAUCAGGACGCCGUCAGGACUCCAUCAGGACGUCAUGUCAACCCCUCAGGAGCAAAUCCAGAUCUACGCAUGACACACACACACACCCACACUCACACACACACAGAUCUACUCAGAGACAC